AACGAACGCUGGCGGCAGGCUUAACACAUGCAAGUCGAGCGCCCCGCAAGGGGAGCGGCAGACGGGUGAGUAACGCGUGGGAACGUACCCUUUGCUACGGAAUAGCUCCGGGAAACUGGAAUUAAUACCGUAUGUGCCCUACGGGGGAAAGAUUUAUCGGCAAAGGAUCGGCCCGCGUUGGAUUAGCUAGUUGGUGGGGUAAUGGCCUACCAAGGCGACGAUCCAUAGCUGGUCUGAGAGGAUGAUCAGCCACAUUGGGACUGAGACACGGCCCAAACUCCUAAGGGAGGCAGCAGUGGGGAAUAUUGGAUAAUGGGCGCAAGCCUGAUCCAGCCAUGCCGAGUGAGUGAUGAAGGCCUUAGGGUUGUAAAGCUCUUUCACCGGAGAAGAUAAUGACGGUAUCCGGAGAAGAAGCCCCGGCUAACUUCGUGCCAGCCGCCGCCGUAACAC
rnacentral:rRNA from 1 species